GAUGAAGAACGUAGCGAAAUGCGAUAAGUAAUGUGAAUUGCAGAAUUCAGUGAAUCAUCGAAUCUUUGAACGCACAUUGCGCCCGCCAGCAUUCUGGCGGGCAUGCCUGUCCGAGCGUCAUUUCAACCCUCAGGGUCCCUCCGCCUCGCGCGGUCGGAGCCUGGUGUUGGGGAUCGGCCCGCCCCGCGCGGCGCCGUCCCCCAAAUACAGUGGCGGUCCCGCCGCAGCCUCCCCUGCGCAGUAGUUACCAACUCGCACUGGAGCGCGGCGCGGCCACGCCGUAAAACCCCCAACUUCUGAACGUUUGACCUCGGAUCAGGUAGGAAUACCCGCUGAACUUAAGCAUAUCAAUAAGCGGAGGA
rnacentral:misc_RNA from 1 species